AGGGAGGAAUGAAUUCUAAUUUCAUUUGGGUUAAAACACUUUUGUCAUGAUACCCUUUUGUAUCCGCAUGACUUAGUUGCAAGGUAUAAGAAGAAGCAGAUGAGAUUGAGAGACAGGUAACAACAUUGGUAAUGGAAGCACCUAGGACAGAGAUUUUCUCCUGUUUGAACUCUCCUGCUCGCAUGUCGUAGAUGGAAUGGAU
rnacentral:misc_RNA from 1 species